CUGGUUGAUCCUGCCAGUAGCAUAUGCUUGUCUCAAAGAUUAAGCCAUGCAUGUCUAAGUACAAGCCGAAAUAAGGUGAAACCGCGAAUGGCUCAUUAAAUCACACCUAAUCUACUGGAAUGUUAGCGGUUACUUGGAUAACUGAGGUAAUUCUUGAGCUAAUACAUGCGAAAAAUCUCGACUCACGGAGAGAUGCUUUUAUUAGAUCAAAACCAAACGGCUUCGGCUGUUUAACUUUGAUGACUCUGAAUAACUUUGGGCUGAUUGUAUUGCCUUGUGCAGACAACGUUUCCUUCGAAGGUGUGCCCUAUCAACUGUCGACUGUGAUAUAGACGCUCACAGUGGUUUUGACGGGUAACGGGGAAUCAGGGUUCGAUUCCGGAGAGGGAGCCUUAAAAACGGCUACCACAUCCAAGGAAGGCAGCAGGCACGCAAAUUACCCAAUGGUCGAAGACCGAGGUAGUGACGAAAAAUAACAAUACAAGACUCUUCCGAGGCCUUGUAAUUGGAAUGAGUACACUUUAAAACCGUUCCCGAGGAUCUAUUGGAGGGCAAGUCUGGUGCCAGCAGCCGCGGUAAUUCCAGCUCCAAUAGCGUAUAUUAAAGUUGCUGUGGUUAAAAAGCUCGUAGUUGGAUUUCGGCGGGUAGUGGUCGGUUUGAAUUGCUUCAACACUGGCUUUUUUACCCGUGUGUUUUGCCAGAAUUUAACGGGUGAUCUUCGCCGAUUGUCCGCUAGAACUGGCAGGUUUACUUUGAAAAAAUUAGAGUGCUCAAAGCAAGCUUGAUUGCUUGAAUAUUCGUGCAUGGAAUAAUAGAAUAGGAAGUCGUUUCUAUUUUGUUGGUUUUCGGAAAUCGACUUAAUGAUUAAUAGGGAUAGUCGGGGGCAUUUGUAUUCAAACGACAGAGGUGAAAUUCUUGGACCGUUUGAAGACAAACUACUGCGAAAGCAUUUGCCAAGAAUGUUUUCAUUAUUCAAGAACGAAAGUUAGAGGUUCGAAGGCGAUUAGAUACCGCCCUAGUUCUAACCAUAAACGAUGCCAGCUAGCGAUCUGCCGGUGCUUGAUUUUCUGGCCCGGCAGGCAGCUUCCGGGAAACCAAAGCUUGUGGGUUCCAGGGGAAGUAUGGUUGCAAAGCUGAAACUUAAAGGAAUUGACGGAAGGGCACCACCAGGAGUGGAGCCUGUGGCUUAAUUUGACUCAACACGGGAAAUCUCACCAGGCCCGGACACCAGAAGGAUUGACAGAUUGAUAGCUCUUUCUUGAUUUGGUGGGUGGUGGUGCAUUGCCGUUCUUAGUUGGUGGAGUGAUUUGUCUGGUUAAUUCCGAUAACGAACGAGACUCUGUCCUGUUAAAUAGAUCCAACCUAGUUG
rnacentral:rRNA from 1 species